GGAUGAACGCUAGCUACAGGCUUAACACAUGCAAGUCGAGGGGCAGCAUGGUCUUAGCUUGCUAAGGCCGAUGGCGACCGGCGCACGGGUGAGUAACACGUAUCCAACCUGCCGUCUACUCUUGGACAGCCUUCUGAAAGGAAGAUUAAUACAAGAUGGCAUCAUGAGUCCACAUGUUCACAUGAUUAAAGGUAUUCCGGUAGACGAUGGGGAUGCGUUCCAUUAGAUAGUAGGCGGGGUAACGGCCCACCUAGUCUUCGAUGGAUAGGGGUUCUGAGAGGAAGGUCCCCCACAUUGGAACUGAGACACGGUCCAAACUCCUACGGGAGGCAGCAGUGAGGAAUAUUGGUCAAUGGGCGAGAGCCUGAACCAGCCAAGUAGCGUGAAGGAUGACUGCCCUAUGGGUUGUAAACUUCUUUUAUAAAGGAAUAAAGUCGGGUAUGGAUACCCGUUUGCAUGUACUUUAUGAAUAAGGAUCGGCUAACUCCGUGCCAGCAGCCGCGGUAAUACGGAGGAUCCGAGCGUUAUCCGGAUUUAUUGGGUUUAAAGGGAGCGUAGAUGGAUGUUUAAGUCAGUUGUGAAAGUUUGCGGCUCAACCGUAAAAUUGCAGUUGAUACUGGAUAUCUUGAGUGCAGUUGAGGCAGGCGGAAUUCGUGGUGUAGCGGUGAAAUGCUUAGAUAUCACGAAGAACUCCGAUUGCGAAGGCAGCCUGCUAAGCCGCAACUGACAUUGAGGCUCGAAAGUGUGGGUAUCAAACAGGAUUAGAUACCCUGGUAGUCCACACGGUAAACGAUGAAUACUCGCUGUUUGCGAUAUACAGCAAGCGGCCAAGCGAAAGCGUUAAGUAUUCCACCUGGGGAGUACGCCGGCAACGGUGAAACUCAAAGGAAUUGACGGGGGCCCGCACAAGCGGAGGAACAUGUGGUUUAAUUCGAUGAUACGCGAGGAACCUUACCCGGGCUUAAAUUGCAGAUGAAUUACGGUGAAAGCCGUAAGCCGCAAGGCAUCUGUGAAGGUGCUGCAUGGUUGUCGUCAGCUCGUGCCGUGAGGUGUCGGCUUAAGUGCCAUAACGAGCGCAACCCUUGUUGUCAGUUACUAACAGGUUCCGCUGAGGACUCUGACAAGACUGCCAUCGUAAGAUGUGAGGAAGGUGGGGAUGACGUCAAAUCAGCACGGCCCUUACGUCCGGGGCUACACACGUGUUACAAUGGGGGGUACAGAGGGCCGCUACCACGCGAGUGGAUGCCAAUCCCAAAAACCUCUCUCAGUUCGGACUGGAGUCUGCAACCCGACUCCACGAAGCUGGAUUCGCUAGUAAUCGCGCAUCAGCCACGGCGCGGUGAAUACGUUCCCGGGCCUUGUACACACCGCCCGUCAAGCCAUGGGAGCCGGGGGUACCUGAAGUGCGUAACCGCGAGGAGCGCCCUAGGGUAAAAC
rnacentral:rRNA from 1 species